rnacentral:rRNA from 1 species
UACGGAGGGAGCUAGCGUUGUUCGGAAUUACUGGGCGUAAAGAGUACGUAGGCGGCUUUGUAAGUUAGGAGUGAAAUCCCCGGGCUCAACCCGGGAACUGCUCUUAAGACUGCAGAGCUUGAGGACGAGAGAGGAAAGUGGAAUUCCUAGUGUAGAGGUGAAAUUCGUAGAUAUUAGGAAGAACACCAGUGGCGAAGGCGACUUUCUGGCUCGUAACUGACGCUGAGGUACGAAAGUGUGGGGAGCAAACAGG